CUACAUUUAUUAAUAUAUGAGAUACCCGUUGAUAUGGUUUGGCUGUGUCCUCAUUCAGAUCUCAACUUCAAUUGUAUCUCCCAGAAUUCCCACAUGUUGUGGGAUGGACCUAGGAGGAGGUAAUUGAAUCAUAGGGGCUGGUCUUUCCUGUGCUAUUCUCAUGAUAGUGAAUAAGUCUCAUGAGAUCUAAUGGGUUUAUCAGGGGUUUCCACUUUUGCUUCUUCCUCAUUUUCUCUUGCUGCUGCCAUGUAAGAAGUCCUUUUCACCUCCCGCCAUGAUUCUGAGGCCUCCCCAGCCAUGUGGAACUGUAAGUCCAAUUAAACCUCUUUUUCUUCCCAGUCUUGGGUAUGUCUUUAUCAACAGCAUGAAAACAGACUAAUACAGUAAAUUGGGAUCAGUAGAGUGGGGCAUUGCUGAAAAGAUACCCGAAAAUUUGGAAGUGACUUUGGAACUGGGUAACAGGCAGAGAUUGGAACAGUUUGAAGGGCUCAGAAGAAGACAGGAAAAUUUGGGUAAGUUUGGAACUCCCUAGAGAUUUGUUGAAUGGCUUUGCCCAAAAUGCUGAUAGUGAUAUGGACAAUAAAAUCCAGGCUGAGGUGGCCUCAGAUGGAGAUGAGAAACUCAUUGGGAAUUUAAGCAAAGUUGAUUCUUGCUAUGUCUUAGCAAAGAGACUGGUGGUAUUUUGUCACUGCCCUGAAGAUUUGUGGAACUUUGGACUUGAGAGAGAUGAUUUAGGUAUCUGGUGGAAGAAAUUUCUAAGCAGCAAAGCAUUCAAGAUGUGACUUGGGUGCUGUUAAAGGCAUUCAGUUUUAUAAGGGAAGCAGAGCAUAAAACUUUAGAAAAUUUGCAGCCUGACUAUGCAAUAGAAAAGAAAACCCAUUUUCUGGGGAGAAAUUCAAGCUGGCUGCAGAAAUUUGCAUAAGUAGUGAGAAGCCUAAUGUUAAUCCCCAAGACCAUGGGGAAAAUGUCUCCAGGCCAUGUCAGAGACCUUCAUGGCAGCCCCUCCCAUCACAGGCCUAGAGGCCCAAGAGGAAAAAGUGGUUUUGUGGGCUGGACCCAGGAUCCCCAUGCUUUGUGCAGCUUAAGGGCUUGGUAGCCUGCACCCCAGCCUCUCCAGCCAUGGCUGAAAGGGACCAACAUAUAGCUCAGGCUGUGGCUUCAGAGGGUCAAAGCCCCAAGCCUUGGCAGCUUCCACGUGGUGUUGAGCCUGCGGGUGCACAGAAGUCAAGAACUGAGGUUUGGGAACCUCCACCUAGAUUUCAGAAGAUGUAUGGAAAUUUCUGAAUGCCCAGGCAAAAGUUUUCUGCAGGAUGGCAGCCCUCAUGGAGAACCUCUGCUAUGGCAGUGCAGAAGGGAAAUGUGGAGUUGGCGUCCCCACACAGAGUCCCUAUUGGGGCACUGCCUAGUGGAGCUGUGAGAAUAGGGCCACUGUUCUCCAGCUCCCAGAAUGAUUGAUCCACCAACAGCUUGCACCAGGCACCUGGAAAAGCCACAGACACUCAAUGCCAGCGAAGAGAAAGCAGCUGCAAAGCCACAGGGGCAGAGCUGCCUAAGACUGUGGGAACCCACCUCUUGCAUUGGUGUGACCUGGAUGUGAGACCUGGAGUCAAAGGACAUCAUUUUAGAGCUUUAAAAUUUGACUGUCCGCUGGAUUUCCGAUUUGUAUGGGCCCUGUAACCCCUUUGUUUUGGCCAAUUUCUCCCAUUUGGAAUGGCUGUAUUUACCAAAUACUUGUAUCCCCAUUGUAUUCAGGAAGUAACUAGCUUGUUUUUGAUUUUACAGGCUCAUAGGUGGAAGGGACUUGCCUUGUCUUAGAUGAGACUUUGGACUGUGGACUUUUGUGUUAAUGCUGAAAUGAGUUAAGGCUUUGAGGAACUGUUGGGAAGGCAUGAUUGGUUUUGAAAUGUGAGAACAUGAGAUUUGGAGGGGCCAGGGACAGAAUGAUGUGGUUUGGCUAUGUCCCCAUUCAAAUCUCAACUUGUAUCUCCCAAAAUUCCCACGUGUUGUGUGAGGGACCUAAGAGGACGUGAUUGAAUCAUGGAGCCGGUCUUUCCCAUGCUAUUCUCAUGAUAGUGAAUAAGUCUCACGAGAUCUGAUGGGUUUAUCAGGGGUUUCCACUUUUGCUUCUUCCUCAUUUUCUCUUGCUGCCACCAUGUAAGAAGUGCCUUUUGCCUCCCGCCAUGAUUCUGAGGCCUCCCCAACCAUGUGGAACUGUAAGUCCAAUUAAACCUCUUUCUCUUCCUAGUCUCGGGUAUUUCUUUAUCAGCAGCAUGAAAAUGCACUAAUACACCCCCAGUCACAGAAAGGGUCUAACUUGAUGUAUCAGUCCCAAGUCCCAAGCUGGCCCAGUUUCAGACAGACCUUCCCCUGGUCCAGUCAGCUAGGCUUUAGCAUCUGAGUCAUAUGGGACCAACGUGACUGUCAGGAUACAUACACUCUCUGGCUGGGGAUUUGUGGGGAGGGGAUAUGUUAAUAUUCUAUUGCUGCUAUAACAAAUGAUCACAUUUUGGCUUAACCAAUUUGAAUUUGUUAUCCUACAGUUAUAGAGGUCAACAGUCUAAUGUGGGUUUCACUGGGCUAAAAUCAAGGAGCUGGCACGGCUGUGUUCCAUUCUGGAGACUCUGGGGGAGAAUCCAUUUAUUUGCCUUCCCCAGCUCCUAGAUGCUGCCCACGUUCU
rnacentral:lncRNA from 1 species